UAGGUAUAGCGUCUAGUUGUAGCUAUAGGGGGUAGAGCACUGAUUGGGCUAGGGCUACUUACCGUGGUACCAAACCCAGUCAAACUCCGAAUACCUAUAGUGUAAUCUAGGCAGUCAGGCGUAGGGUGAUAAAAUCCUAUGUCAAGAGGGAAACAGCCCAGACUACCAGCUAAGGUCCCAAAGUUUUAUCUAAGUGGAAAAGGAUGUGGGGUUGCUUAGACAAUCAGGAGGUUGGCUUAGAAGCAGCCAUCCUUUAAAGAAAGCGUAACAGCUCACUGAUCUAGCGACCUUGCGCCGAAAAUAUAACGGGGCUAAGAUAAACACCGAAGCUGUAGAUUUGAUAUUUAUAUCAAGUGGUAGGAGAGCGUUCUAGUCAGCGUAGAAGAUGUACCGGUGAGGAGCGUUGGAGCGGCUAGAAGUGAGCAUGCAGGCAUGAGUAACGAUAAAAGAGGUGAGAAUCCUCUUCGCCGAAAAUCUAAGGUUUCCUACGCGAUGCUCGUCAUCGUAGGGUUAGUCGGGACCUAAGUUAAGUCCGAAAGGGGUAGACGAUGGAAAAUAGGUUAAUAUUCCUAUACUAACUUAUAAUUGUUUGAUUGAUGUGGGGACGCAUAGAGUUAAAGGAGCUUACUGAUGGAAUAGUAAGUCGAAAGAUGUAGGUUGUAAAGUAGGCAAAUCCGCUUUACACAAGACCGAGAUCCUAUAGGCAAAUAAAGUUCUUCGGAACGGAGUUUGAAUCCUUGAUACUGUCGUGCCAAGAAAAGCCACUAAAAGAGAUUAUAUGUUACCCGUACCGCAAACCGACACAGGUAGAUGAGAUGAGUAUUCUAAGGCGCGUGGAAGAACCCUGGUUAAGGAACUCUGCAAAAUAGCACCGUAUCUUCGGUAUAAGGUGUGCCCAUAGUAUGUGAUGUGAUUUACUCACGGAGCAGAAAAGGGCGGCAGCAAAGAGUCCCUCCCGACUGUUUACCAAAAACACAGCACUCUGCUAACUCGUAAGAGGAUGUAUAGGGUGUGACGCCUGCCCGGUGCUCGAAGGUUAAUUGAUGGGGUUAGCAAUUUAUUGCGAAGCUCUUGAUCGAAGCCCGAGUAAACGGCGGCCGUAACUAUAACGGUCCUAAGGUAGCGAAAUUCCUUGUCGGU
rnacentral:rRNA from 1 species